GAUGAACGCUGGCGGCGUGCCUAAUACAUGCAAGUCGAGCGAACGGACGAGAAGCUUGCUUCUCUGAUGUUAGCGGCGGACGGGUGAGUAACACGUGGAUAACCUACCUAUAAGACUGGGAUAACUUCGGGAAACCGUAGCUAAUACCGGAUAAUAUUUUGAACCGCAUGGUUCAAAAGUGAAAGACGGUCUUGCUGUCACUUAUAGAUGGAUCCGCGCUGCAUUAGCUAGUUGGUAAGGUAACGGCUUACCAAGGCAACGAUUCAUAGCCGACCUGAGAGGGUGAUCGGCCACACUGGAACUGAGACACGGUCCAGACUCCUACGGGAGGCAGCAGUAGGGAAUCUUCCGCAAUGGGCGAAAGCCUGACGGAGCAACGCCGCGUGAGUGAUGAAGGUCUUCGGAUCGUAAAACUCUGUUAUUAGGGAAGAACAUAUGUGUAAGUAACUGUGCACAUCUUGACGGUACCUAAUCAGAAAGCCACGGCUAACUACGUG
rnacentral:rRNA from 1 species